rfam:Nicotiana attenuata strain TT chromosome 11, whole genome shotgun sequence.
GCAGCUGUAGCUUAGUGAUAGAGCGCCUGUUUUCCUAACUUGAAGGUCGUAGGUUCGACCCCUGCCUGCGCG